CGGCUUAUAUUGUCAGUGGCCCUAACAAACCCAACAAAGAAAGAAAGUAAACACUUUUGGUUCAUAGCUGAAGAACCUGGGUUCAACCUGGCACGGGUUUAGCGCUUGGUUUUGAUUAUAAUAAUAAUAAUUCGCCCUGGCACAAGUGAAUAUGUUGGUCAUGUCUCAGUACAAGUGUUGCCCGGUGCACCUAGCAGAAGGUCACCUUGCCUCAGUGGGAAAUGGCCGAUGUGUUAAUACAAAAAUAACAAUAAUGAUUUAUGACAUCUCAAGAGGAGAGGAUGUAUGAUCAUUUCAUGUCAACAGCUUCUGACAGCAAAUUAGGAAAUGAGUAGUUCAGCAAGAGGACGAGCACAGCACACCUCCACGAAAUGGAAGCAGAUAAAAGAAACGAGUAUUACAAGCAGAUAUGCCUCAGCAGACAGGACAACACUGAUCUUUUCUGAGCACUGGGUGGUCACAUGUUGCAGGUGGACACUCAGUUACACGGCACUGAACAUUUCCUCUCUGGAAAGAUGGAUAUUUCAAUUUAAAAAGGUAUGUAAUAAAAUAUAGA